rnacentral:rRNA from 1 species
CUUUCAACAACGGAUCUCUUGGUUCUGGCAUCGAUGAAGAACGCAGCGAAAUGCGAUAAGUAAUGUGAAUUGCAGAAUUCAGUGAAUCAUCGAAUCUUUGAACGCACAUUGCGCCCCUGGAUAUUCCGGGGGGCAUGCCUGUUCGAGCGUCA